CACGUAGGAGGCGAGCGUUGUCCGGAAUCAUUGGGCGUAAAGAGCGCGCAGGCGGCUUGGCAAGUCGGGUGUGAAAGCCCUCGGCUCAACCGAAGAAGUGCCGCCCGAAACUGCAGAGCUUGAGUACCGGAGAGGAUGGCGGAAUUCCCCAAGUAGAGGUGAAAUUCGUAGAUAUGGGGGAGGAACACCGGUGGCGAAGGCGGCCAUCUGGACGGAUACUGACGCUGAGACGCGAAAAGCGUGGGUAGCAAACAGG
rnacentral:rRNA from 1 species